rnacentral:lncRNA from 1 species
CAUAGCUGCUAGGUUAAGAAAUUGAUUCUCCCGCAGAAACAAUGGAUUUCGGUGUAGCGGAACUGUUACGUGGAGAUGCUAAGGUAAUUGUUGAGAGCUUAGUUUUAAGUUGAAGGAAUAAACCUGUUGAUUUACAGGUUGAUCAACCUGUAAAGAUGAUGCAGCAUUCUGCAGGUUGAUGAAUACUAAUGAAGCUGUGGAUGUCACUGAGCAGCUUCAUUUUAAAGUAAGUUACCCUGACUUACAUCUGCUGCAGUAAUUCUGUCUGGUUUGUGGUAAAUGUCCGUGUAAUGUAGCAUAAUGGAUUUUGGUCUGAUCAAUGAUGAACCCUAUCCCGAAGCUGAUAACCUGAAGAAAAGCAUGUACGGAUUCGGCUUCUGAGACAAGACUAAUGUUCAGAUAUGAGAACAAGUUUUAUAACAGAUUUCUGUUAGGUUAUGUCUCAUAGAGGAAAAACUUAAUUCACAGAGUGGGGUUUUCUGUGCCAAC